rnacentral:snRNA from 1 species
GAGCUUACUCUGGUAGCACAUAUACUAAAAAAACUGGAAUAGUAUGGUCCCUACAGAAGGAUGACACCCAAAUCUGUGAAGCAUUUUAUAUAUCA